CACCCGAAAGGGUGAGUAAUACCGCAUGAACUCGCAAGAGUAAAGGGCUUAACUGCCCGCCGGGAGAGGAGCCUGCGUCCUAUCAGCUAGAAGGUGGGGUAAAAGCCUACCUUGGCGAUGACGGGUAGCCGGUGUGAGAGCACGACCGGCCACAAGGUCACUGACAUACGGGGCCUACACCUACGGGUGGCAGCAACCGGGAAUAUUGCGCAAUGGACGAAAGUCUGACGCAGCGACACCGCGUGUGGGAUGAAGCAUUUCGGUGUGUAAACCACUGUGGCGAGGGAGGAAGAUCUGACAGUACCUCGCUAGAAAGCACCUGCUAACUACGUGCCAGAAGCCUCGGCAAUACGUAGGGUGCAAGCGUUAUCCGGAUUUACUGGGCGUAAAGGGUUUCGCAGGUGGAUUAGUUAGUUCAAUCUUAAAGACCGCGGCUCAACUGCGGGAAUGGAUUGGAUACUGCUAGUCUAGAGGACAUCAGGGGAGACUGGAAUUCUUGGUGGAGGGGUGAAAUCCGUUGAUAUCAAGAGGAACGUCGAUGGCGAAGGCAAGUCUCUGGGGUGUUCCCGCAAGGGACCAUGCACUUUUGUGUAUGGCCUGACACUCAUGUACGAAAGCUAGGGUAGCAAACGGGAUUAGAGACCCCGGUAGUCCUAGCCGUAAACGAUGGAUACUAGUUGCUUGGCAUUCGUGCCGGGUGGCGUAAGCUAACGCGUUAAGUAUCCCGCCUGGGUAGUACGGUCGCAAGGCUAAAACUCAAAGGAAUUGACGGGGAUCUGCACAACCAGUGGAGCAUGUGGUUUAAUUCGAUACAAAGCGAAGGACCUUACCUGGACUUGACAUGUAUCUGCACGCCCUGUGAAAGCAGGGAAGCCUUAGAGGGUGAUACACAGGUGUUGCAUGGCUGUCGUCAGCUCGUGUCGUGAGACGUCUGCUUAAGUGCAGUAACGAGCGCAACCCCUGUCCUGUGUUGUAUUUCUCACAGGAGACUGCCUUACAGCAAGUAGGGAGGAAGGAGGGGAUGACGUCAAGUCAGCAUGACCCUUACGUCCAGGGCAACACACAUCCUACAAUGGGGAGGACAACGGGUUGCGAUCCGGCAACGGUUAGCUAAUCCUUCAAACCUUCUCUCAGUUCGGAUUGUAGGCUGCAAUUCGCCUACAUGAAGUCGGAAUUGGUAGUAAUCGCAGGUCAGCAGACUGCGGUGAAUACGUUCUCAGAUCUUGUACACACUGCCCGUCAAGCCAGCAAAGUCGGCAGAGCCCGAAGCGGGAGUCCCCAACCAUGCCUUUGGCAUGGACGGGCCCUUCUAAGGCUAGGUCGGCGAUGAGGACUAAGUCGUAACAAGG
rnacentral:rRNA from 1 species